rnacentral:miRNA from 1 species
GCUGACUGAUUUUAAAAGUCUCACUUUUAAAAUCGGUCACCUUUGACCGAUUUUAAAAGUGGGACUUUUAAAAUCGGUCAUA